rnacentral:rRNA from 1 species
UGAAAGAGAGCUUGCUCUCUGGAUCAGUGGCGAACGGGUGAGUAACACGUGAGCAACCUGCCCCGGACUCUGGGAUAACAGCUGGAAACAGCUGCUAAUACCGGAUACGAGCUGCGAAGGCAUCUUCAGCAGCUGGAAAGAAUUUCGGUCCGGGAUGGGCUCGCGGCCUAUCAGCUAGUUGGUGAGGUAAUGGCUCACCAAGGCGUCGACGGGUAGCCGGCCUGAGAGGGUGACCGGCCACACUGGGACUGAGACACGGCCCAGACUCCUACGGGAGGCAGCAGUGGGGAAUAUUGCACAAUGGGCGAAAGCCUGAUGCAGCAACGCCGCGUGAGGGAUGACGGCCUUCGGGUUGUAAACCUCUUUUAGCAGGGAAGAAGCGAAAGUGACGGUACCUGCAGAAAAAGCGCCGGCUAACUACGUGCCAGCAGCCGCGGUAAUACGUAGGGCGCAAGCGUUAUCCGGAAUUAUUGGGCGUAAAGAGCUCGUAGGCGGUUUGUCGCGUCUGCUGUGAAAACCCGAGGCUCAACCUCGGGCCUGCAGUGGGUACGGGCAGACUAGAGUGCGGUAGGGGAGAUUGGAAUUCCUGGUGUAGCGGUGGAAUGCGCAGAUAUCAGGAGGAACACCGAUGGCGAAGGCAGAUCUCUGGGCCGUAACUGACGCUGAGGAGCGAAAGGGUGGGGAGCAAACAGGCUUAGAUACCCUGGUAGUCCACCCCGUAAACGUUGGGAACUAGUUGUGGGGUCCAUUCCACGGAUUCCGUGACGCAGCUAACGCAUUAAGUUCCCCGCCUGGGGAGUACGGCCGCAAGGCUAAAACUCAAAGGAAUUGACGGGGACCCGCACAAGCGGCGGAGCAUGCGGAUUAAUUCGAUGCAACGCGAAGAACCUUACCAAGGCUUGACAUAUACGAGAACGGGCCAGAAAUGGUCAACUCUUUGGACACUCGUAAACAGGUGGUGCAUGGUUGUCGUCAGCUCGUGUCGUGAGAUGUUGGGUUAAGUCCCGCAACGAGCGCAACCCUCGUUCUAUGUUGCCAGCACGUAAUGGUGGGAACUCAUGGGAUACUGCCGGGGUCAA